rnacentral:rRNA from 1 species
UCCAGAGAACUUUCCAGAGAUGGAUUGGUGCCUUCGGGAACUCUGAGACAGGUGCUGCAUGGCUGUCGUCAGCUCGUGUUGUGAAAUGUUGGGUUAAGUCCCGCAACGAGCGCAACCCUUAUCCCUUUGUUGCCAGCGGUUAGGCCGGGAACUCAAAGGAGACUGCCAGUGAUAAACUGGAGGAAGGUGGGGAUGACGUCAAGUCAUCAUGGCCCCUACGAGUAGGGCUACACACGUGCUACAAUGGCGCAUACAAAGAGAAGCGACCUCGCGAGAGCAAGCGGACCUCAUAAAGUGCGUCGUAGUCCGGAUUGGAGUCUGCAACUCGACUCCAUGAAGUCGGAAUCGCUAGUAAUCGUGGAUCAGAAUGCCACGGUGAAUACGUUCCCGGGCCUUGUACACACCGCCCGUCACACCAUGGGAGUGGGUUGCAAAAGAAGUAGGUAGCUUAACCUUCGGGAGGGCGCUUACCACUUUGUGAUUCAUGACUGGGGUGAAGUCGUAACAAGGUAAGCGUAGUGCU